rnacentral:rRNA from 1 species
UGAGACACGGCCCAGACUCCUACGGGAGGCAGCAGUGGGGAAUAUUGCACAAUGGGGGAAACCCUGAUGCAGCAACGCCGCGUGAAGGAUGAAGGUUUUCGGAUUGUAAACUUCUUUGAUUGGGGACGAAUAAUGACGGUACCCAAAAAACAAGCCACGGCUAACUACGUGCAGCAGCCGCGGUAAUACGUAGGUGGCAAGCGUUGUCCGGAGUUACUGGGUGUAAAGGGCGUGUAGGCGGGAAGAUAAGUCAGAUGUGAAUUCCAUGGCUCAACUGUGGCGCUGCAUCUGAA